UUUCCAGAGAUGGCAUGGAAACAUGUCAAUCGGCAGCAAGCGAAGGUGUCUUUUACACCCGUGGUACAGUCACCCCGGCCGUACCACGUUUUUUUAUU
rnacentral:ncRNA from 13 species